rnacentral:rRNA from 1 species
UCGGGAAUUUUGGGCAAUGGGGGAAACCCUGACCCAGCAACGCCGCGUGAAGGAUGAAGUAUUUCGGUAUGUAAACUUCGAAAGAAUAGGAAGAAUAAAUGACGGUACUAUUUAUAAGGUCCGGCUAACUACGUGCCAGCAGCCGCGGUAAUACGUAGGGACCAAGCGUUGUUCGGAUUUACUGGGCGUAAAGGGCGCGUAGGCGGCAUGACAAGUCACUUGUGAAAUCUCUGGGCUUAACCCAGAACGGCCAAGUGAUACUGUCGCGCUAGAGUACAGAAAGGGCAAUCGGAAUUCUUGGUGUAGCGGUGAAAUGCGUAGAUAUCAAGAGGAACACCUGAGGCGAAGGCGGGUUGCUAGGCUGAUACUGACGCUGAGGCGCGAAAGCUAGGGUAGCAAACGGGAUUAGAUACCCUAGUAGUCCCUGAGCGGGCUGGCAAGGCGCAU